AUGCGGAUGAAGUUGAAGGCAGUAUAUACAUUGAUAGAGCAACUGUAUACCGGUGCCCAACGAGUUAUCUGUUCGGCCUCGUACAACAAACCGGCACCAUCUUUGAUCAAGGAUACACUGGCCAAAUUUUCGAUGACACCGGCCCAGAUAGAAGAAGUGAAGCGAUCUGCUGCAAGGGUUGGCGCUUUAUUAGCACUGACUCGGGCCAAAGCUUGGAUAGCUGACCUUGAUCCGGUUGAUAUCGCAGAGGGCUACCCUGGUGAACAAGAAAACGGGUCAGCAUUUGAUAAUGAAGCCCUCAAAGCCCUGACAAAGGAGAUGCGCCCGCUGGCAAGCCAAUUGGCUGAAGAGGUUAAUUUGUCUGUUCAUCGGUCCUUCUAUGAUGCAGACAACCAACGGGUUGAUACUGCUAUUAAAGAAGUGCAGAAUCUUAUCCCGCCAAUCUGUAAGCACACUUAUGCCCCUGACGUUGAACCAUCCAAUCUUAUAAGUGCAGAAGUUGUCUUCCAAGCUUUAACCCGGAUUGGCUGGACCACCAUUGACUUCCAGCCACUGGGUGGAGAGGAGGAGGUUGAACCAACGCCAGAGGAUCCAUCCACUUCACGUCAACCUGGUGACGAGUCUUAA
rnacentral:rRNA from 1 species